AUUGAACGCUGGCGGCACGCUUAACACAUGCAAGUCGAGCGGUAACAUGGUUAGUAGCAAUACUAAUUGAUGACGAGCGGCGGACGGGUGAGUAACACGUAGGAACCUGCCCAGAAGCGGGGGACAACCAAGGGAAACUUUGGCUAUACCGCGUAAUCUCGGGAGAGUAAAGCUGCCCGCAAGGGUGGCGCUUGUGGAGGGGCCUGCCUUCGAUUAGCUAGUUGGUGAGGUAAUGGGUCACCAAGGCGGUGAUCGGUAACUGGUCUGAGAGGACGACCAGUCACACUGGGACUGAGACACGGCCCAGAGUCCUACGGGAGGCAGCAGUGGGGAAUCUUGGACAAUGGGGGCAACCCUGAUCCAGCGAUGCCGCGUGGGUGAAGAAGGCCUUCGGGUUGUAAGCCCUUUAGGUUGGGAAGAAGUUCAUAGGCUGAAUAAUCUUAUGGAUUGACGGUACCAACAGAAUAAGCACCGGCAAACUCUGUGCCAGCCGCCGCCGUAA
rnacentral:rRNA from 1 species